AACGAACGCUGGCGGCAGGCUUAACACAUGCAAGUCGAGCGGGCGCUUUCGGGCGUCAGCGGCGGACGGGUUAGUAACGCGUGGGAACGUGCCCUUCACUGCGGAACAGCUCCGGGAAACUGGUGGUAAUACCGCAUACGCCCUUUGGGGGAAAGAUUUAUCGGUGAGGGAUCGGCCCGCGUCUGAUUAGGUAGUUGGUGGGGUAACGGCUCACCAAGCCGACGAUCGGUAGCUGGUUUGAGAGGAUGAUCAGCAACACUGGGACUGAGACACGGCCCAGACUCCUACGGGAGGCAGCAGUGGGGAAUCUUAGACAAUGGGCGCAAGCCUGAUCUAGCCAUGCCGCGUGGAUGAUGGCCUUAGGGUUGUAAAGCUCUUUCAGCUGGGAAGAUAAUGACGGUACCAGCAGAAGAAGCCCCGGCUAACUCCGUGCCAGCCGCCGCAGUAACAC
rnacentral:rRNA from 1 species